rnacentral:rRNA from 2 species
GGGGACUUAAGCAUAUCAAUAAGCGGAGGAAAAGAAACUAACAAGGAUUCCCCUAGUAACUGCGAGUGAAGCGGGAAAAGCUCAAAUUUAAAAUCUGGCAGUCUUUGGUUGCCCGAGUUGUAGUCUGGAGAAGUGCUUUCUGCGCUGGACCGUGUACAAGUCUCUUGGAACAGAGCGUCAUAGAGGGUGAGAAUCCCGUCUUUGACACGGACUACCAGUGCUUUGUGAUGCGCUCUCAAAGAGUCGAGUUGUUUGGGAAUGCAGCUCAAAAUGGGUGGUAAAUUCCAUCUAAAGCUAAAUAUUGGCGAGAGACCGAUAGCGAACAAGUACCGUGAGGGAAAGAUGAAAAGCACUUUGGAAAGAGAGUUAAACAGUACGUGAAAUUGCUGAAAGGGAAACGCUUGAAGUCAGUCACGUUGGCCAGAACUCAGCCUUGCUUUAAUGUUUGGUGCAUUUUCUGGUUGACGGGCCAGCAUCAAUUUUGACCGCUGGAUAAAGGCUGGAGGAAUGUGGCACCUUCGGGUGUGUUAUAGCCUCUGGUCACAUACAGUGGUUGGGAUUGAGGAUCUCAGCAUGCCUUUAUGGUCGGGGUUCGCCCACGUUUCAUGCUUAGGAUGCUGGCAUAAUGGCUUUAAACGACCCGUCUUGAAACACGGACCAAGGAGUCUAACAUACCUGCGAGUGUUUGGGUGGAAAACCCGAGUGCGUAAUGAAAGUGAAAGUUGAGAUCCCUGUCGUGGGGAGCAUCGACGCCCGGACCAGACCUUUUGUGACGGAUCUGCGGUAGAGCAUGUAUGUUGGGACCCGAAAGAUGGUGAACUAUGCCUGAAUAGGGUGAAGCCAGAGGAAACUCUGGUGGAGGCUCGUAGCGAUUCUGACGUGCAAAUCGAUCGUCAAAUUUGGGUAUAGGGGCGAAAGACUAAUCGAACCCAUCUUUGG